UAAACUGUGACUAAGGUUGAAGGCCAGCCCCUGUGCCUGGCUUUUUAAGAAGGGCCACCGGGAUUUCCUGAAUAAUAGUGACCUGGGAGGAGCCACAGGGUUGGCCAGAGGCCCAAGGGAAAAGGCGGUUCCUUGGAGGAUUUUUCAGUGAAAUGCCACUGAGAGGUGUCCCAUCCACCCUGCGUUCCUGCCCACCCCACAGCAGCUGCUGAAGUACCUGUGUUUUCUGUAUGCCUGGAUUCCUGGUGGAAGCCACCGGAGGGCCAGAUUCCAUGCUGGUUUCCAUCGUGGGGAUGGCACUGUACACAGGAUAUGUCUUCAUGCCUCAGCACAUCAUGGCAAUACUGCACUACUUUGAAAUAGUACAAUGACCAAGAUGUGACCAGAAUUGAGCGGCUCCUUAGGGAAGAACCACCCUUUGAUGUUGGAAUGAAACCUCAUCAGAUGUCAUAAGAAACUCUACUAGAUGUCAACAUAACCAACCCUAUGAAUAUAAAGACUAAAAUUCAUGAGUAGAACAGGAAAAUAAUCCUGACUCAUGUGUUGUGUUCUUUAUUUUUAAUUUUAAAAGAGGCUCUUGUAUAGUAGUUUUUGUCUAUUUUAACAUUGUAGUCAUUUGUACUUUGAUAUCAGUAUUUUCUUAACCUUUGUGACUGUUUCAAUAUUACCCUGUGAAAGCUUUUCUUAAUGUAACUUUGAGUACAUUUUAAUUGCCUUCUAUUUCUAAAACCCAAAGUCAUUAGUUGGGCUUUACUGUUCUUGCUAUUGUAUGGCACAUACAUCUGCCUGGAUAUAUUUCUACUCUUGACCAAAGUUUUGUAAGAAACAAUACAAGAUUUGGGGCAGGGGGAUGGGGAGGGAGGAUAUUUUAUUGAGAACUAUUUACUAAAGACUUAUCUGUAAGUUUGAACUCAGGAGUACAGUUUUAGCUAUCUAGACUCUACUCUUAACAGCUUUUGCUUAUCACUAUUAAAGUAUUUCUUAACAAUGAAAAAGGAAGAUCUUGCUAAAGUUAAAAUAAGGAACAUUUCACCUUUUAAAUAUUUAAUUCUUAUGUGGACUCAUUUCCAGAAAACUUUGGUGAUGAUUCUUAUGACAGGAGGUGGUUAAAUAGCAUUAUUAUGUAAUGCUUAUAUGCCACAGAGUUUUUAGUAGAAAGUAAAUCAGUUUCCUUUGAGUUAUUAUUAACAAUGUACUUCCUUAAAUUUAGUUUCAUGAUUGUAAUGGGUGCUGCAAAUGCAUUUGCACAUUGCAAUAAGAUGAGAUGAAUUGUUAAAAACUAUAGCAAAAAGAAAUGUAAACUUGGUUAAAAUCCUUUCACUCUUUGUAUUUUUUUUUAAAGAUUUUUAUUCCUUAAAUGUAAAAUGACUA
rnacentral:lncRNA from 1 species